GACCGCAUAGCUCAGUUGGCAGAGCAUUGGGCUAGUAUUCCAAAGGUCGUAGGUUCGAUUCCCACCGUGGCCA
rnacentral:tRNA from 1 species